GAGUAAGAAGUUGCUUGUUCUAGAGUAGCUUAGUUUUGGUAGCAAAAAUAAUUACUAAAUCGAAUGGAAAGGUUUUCAAAUGAAAGUUGAAAGAUGAAUAAUGGGAUGGGUAGAUAAAAUUUAGGCUAAGGCCAAAGAAAGAACCAACAAUAUAGAAAUUGUUGACCCGAAUCUUAAUAGGACACUUAGGUAAAACUUUGGUUUGAAUUGGAAGAUUAACCUCGACCCUCUACCAAGAAUGAUAGGAACUAGAGGUAUAGGAACGCCACACCAAUAAAGGUGAUAAGUUCGGUUUCAAGGAAAAGAAUUGACGCCACAAGAAAGUUGAUAAGUCGAUUCAGUUCCAGAAAAGAACAAGGAGAAUUGGAUAAUCUCUCAAGUCUCAAAUUUAACAUAAAUUUUCGCCAAAAAAAAAGUCCCUCCAACAAGCCAUUUACAACAUAUUUAUAGUCUAUAAUGUGCCCAACCGAAUGGUCACAAAAAUUCAGAUUAAAUGAGCAAAUUUAAUGAACUAAAAUAGCUUAAGAGCUAAGUUCACUCCUUUGAAGAAUCCUAGACCUUGGGGACGGCAAUGGCAUCAAAAAUCUUUAAUAUCCUUCAAUAAUCAGCCUUGGAAAUUCGGAUGGCCAGCAGCAGCUUUAAAUGACGUCUUGGGCACACAAAUAGCUCCUAAAUACUUUCCUUCAACUUAAAUGAGCUGAACUAAAUUUGUAAGUCCUUUGGUGUGUUCAAGACAACAAUAAGCAUCAGCUUUGGAACCUGAAGACGGCCUUUAAUGCUCUUUGGAAGCAUGAAACUUCAGCCUUGGUUUAAACAGCAAGCAACAAACAUGUUUUGGCCGAAUGGCCACUUGGAAAUUCCCCAAACAACAGCUCUUUGCUGUACCCGAAGCAAUACCAGCUUUAAUGGCAUUCAAAAACGUCUCCCUUGCAUGCUUUCAUUAAUGCCGUCCAUGCAUGGGAACAUCUCAUUAAAUCCAUGUCUUUGCUUCCUUUAAAUGCCGUUCCAUGCAUGGGAACAUCUCCCUUGCUGCUCAUUAAAUUCGGCCAUGCAUGCAAGCUCCAGCAACUAAUUAAUGCCGUCCAUGCAUGGGAACAUCUCCUUAAAUGCAUGUCUCCUUAGCCAUUAAGUAGCCGAAUUUAAUGACCUGCAAACACAAAUUAAAUUCGGUCAAAUAAUGCAUCUAAAGACAAUUAAUUUCGGCUGGACUUCAAACACAUUAAGUCAACAAUGAGACAUAAUAAAUUCGGCUGAAACAUAGACAAAUUAAAUGCAUGCCUUAACCUAUGACAAAUGAAUGUGUACUAAUUGAAAACAUAAUUAAAUCAUAUACUAAAUAAAGAAAAUUUAAUAUAAAAAUUAUUAGACCCAAAUUAAAUCAUGUGUAUGCUGAAAUUAAUAAACUAACUAAUGAACUUAAUUUAUUCCAGCAACUAUUUAAAAGCAUAAGUUAAAAUAAAUUGAAGUUCAAAUUUAAUGAGCUGAAAUUAGCUCGAAUUUGAGCUCCAUUGAACUGAAACAAUCUCGAUCAACUUGCAAGAAUUUGUGAUUGUCGCCUGAUGAACUGAACCAAGGAUGUUUUCGGGGCAGGGUCGUAUCAUUCCCCCUUCUUUAGAACGACUUGUCCUCAAGUCGAGCCAUUGGUUCACUCGAUCGCAGCAACUUUUACUUAGCUUUCCUCGGUCGAACGGGAUGGAUUGGAAUUGGGACAACUGAAAGGAAUAACCAUGAGUUAACAAGAAUGGUUUCAGAUAAAUUUGUAAUCCAAAUGCAAGCAAAAUAGAACAAGAAAAUCCCAUGGGAGUGGACAGAUGCAAAGCAACAUGUUCACAACCAUGCAAACAAACUAAUUUACUCGUUAAUGCCUCGUCAAUUAUUCGAAACGAAAAUGAACAUGUUCUAAGGCAAUCAAAUGUCUCAAAUCGUUUCCACAAGUCAUAACCAAUAUGUGAAUAACGAAUCAAAUCAACAAAACAAUCUUUGGCACCACCUAAAGAGAACAACGAUGUUUCAAAAAGUUCAUGAGCCUUACCUUUAAAAGUAGUAAAACAAAGAUCAUUUUUACCUUGCUCGAUCAACACAAACCUUCGCUCCUCGGGAGUAUAUUGUAGUUGAAGCUUUUCAAUUUGACUCUCCAUCUUUGGCGGUUGAAAGAGCAAAGGAAUCAAGCUCAAUUUACAUCCAAAAUAAAUAAAAAAUUCUUUCAAUCGAUCAUGCAUCCAAAAUUUUAGUUGAUCAAAACUUGCAUAUAUCAAAUUAUCAAACAGUCUUGAUAUGUCAUUAUUGCAAACAAGUGAACUCAAUCGGUUCAAAAGACAAAUAACCAUACAUGAUCGCACGCAAUCAAACUCAACAGCAUUUUCAACACGAUCAAUGUCAGAAAUAGAUUUAUAUGGGUUUUCAUCUUGCGUAGUCAAAAAGUACCAAAGACGUUGGAUUACAAUUUCAUUUGUUUGCAGAUCAGCAUCGCAAUUUGUACUAACUUUAUUCUUGCAUUCAUCGUUCAAAACAUACACUUCAAGGCUAACCAAAGGAAAACAAUCAUUUGUGUCAGGAUACAAAUAUUUUUCAAAAUCCACAACAUCAAUCAAAUCGUUUGCACUAAGUUUGGAAUGCCCAAGUUUCCCACGAAACGAGUCAACAUAGCAAAUUCCAGGUUUGAACUCACGAUUUUGAUCACUUAUUCCAUAGUGCAGUAAAAAUUUCAUUCUCACAGGCAUGCUUAUACAAAAGGAUUUCGUGUAAAAAUAUAAAAGAUUCACAUAACCAUGACAAUUGAAUAAAUCAAACCUUUUAUGUGGAUACCUCCAAUCUCGCACGUCCAAAAUUUGCACAAGCUGAAAUAAUCCAAUAUUAUCAACAAAAUUUUCAACACGAAUCACAUCAAAUACACAACUCUUCAUGCCUCCAUUUAAAAUAAAAUUAUCAUCAAACAAAGAAUGACAAUUAGCCAUGUCAAGACAUGAAACCUUUUUAAAGACUAAAUCAUCAUCAAUAUUAUCACAAACAUUCAAGUGGAAUAAUGGAGACUCACACGGCAUAGAUCCCUCACCUUUCUUACCUUUAUGUGCCGGUGGACAAGGGUCUUCUAUGUUAUUACCUUUCUGAAUCAACUUGAAUCGCCUCUCAUCAGGGAAGUAUUGUAAUUGAAAAUCGUCGCACGAAUCUUUAGAAUUCUGAAAAGAAGAAAUAGAACAAGAACAACUCACAUGUGGGUUAGUAAAAACAACGCUCACUUUUUCUUGUUCUCUCUCAUCUCUUUCACUAUUUUCUUUGGAAAACUCUUUUUCUUUUCCACUCAAUUUCUGUUGAAACUCUCUUUCAAUUUCUUUUUCCACUCUUUCUUUUUCUUCUUUUUCAAUCUCUUUUUGCUUUUCACUCUCUUUUCUUUUUGAAAUCUCAUUUUCAUCUUUUUCUUUUAUUUCUUUUUCUUUUUCUCUCAUUUCUUUUUUUCUUCUCUCAAUUUCAUUCAAGAUUCGUUCAUUUUCUUGCAUCAACAUCUCUUGUUUUUCUUUUCUUCUAUUUUCUUUUUGUCUUGUUCUUUCAUUACAAGAAGAUGAUAACUUAUAAGAACCAUAACGACAAGCUUCUCGUUUGAAAGAAAUGGCAGAUUCAUCAUGCAAGUCACGAUCAUCUCUUUGUGAAUAACCCUCCGUAUUCGAGUACUUUGACAUUCUUGAAACACGUUCGCCUCUUCGUAAAUAAUCCUUCGUAGUUGAAUAAAUUGAGGCAUUUGUAGAGACAUGAUUACCUUUUUGUAUAUCAUCUCGGAAGGACUCAAACUCGUAGUUUGCUUCUCUUGGUCUCGAACGCCUUGUUGAAUAGACAUCUUGAUAAGAGUCUCUUGUCAAGUAGUGUCGUCGGAAUGAUCUUAACUCCGUCUCUUGUCUCGAUGGAAUUUGUUUUGUUGGGCUCUUGUCUCUAUUCGAUCCAAUCUAUCAUGCAAUAUAUCAAAAUUUGAUUUCACCAUUCUACGCAUUUCUUGCAUUAAAUAUUGGAAAUCUGAUUCAGAAAAUUCUUCUUGAAACAUGAUUUAAUUCUCACCACAAAAAUCUCACGUUUCACUCGCAAAGAAAAAUUCGCACAAAUUUGGCUUUUACUUCUCUCGAAUGGUCUCACCAAACACUCUUGCCUUUUUCCACUCGAUUUUCACCUCUCGAAGUUCUUCGCAAACUAAGUCGACAAAUUAAUACCAUUUGGCGUCGGCUUACAAAAUUAAUUUGGCUUGGUGGUAAUGACGUCGGAAAUGGUAGGCUAUCAAACAAAAUAGAAAUGGUUAAGUGUGGCUAUAUAGAUAUGGUCCUUCGGGCAACAAGCAAUGCUUUUACAAUCCAACUAUGAACUCUUCUCUUUUUUCUUUUUUUUUUUAAUUCUGAUUUUUUUUUUAAUUUUGAAUUUCUCUCACUUUUUUUUCAAUACUAAAUACAACAAGAAAAAAAAUGAAUUGAAUACAAACUUUUUUUUUUCGGAUUUUUUUCGGAUUUUUUUUUAAUUUUUUUUCAUUUUUUUUACAAUACCGUAAUACCGAUAACGUCGAUCUUACUCCGAUUCAGCUAGCUCUGAUACCAAAUGAUACGAGCUCGGUUAUGGAUGUCUCGAGUCGUAUGUAUUGCCCAAUCGUGAAUUCGAGUAAGAAGUUGCUUGUUCUAGAGUAGCUUAGUUUUGGUAGCAAAAAUAAUUACUAAAUCGAAUGGAAAGGUUUUCAAAUGAAAGUUGAAAGAUGAAUAAUGGGAUGGGUAGAUAAAAUUUAGGCUAAGGCCAAAGAAAGAACCAACAAUAUAGAAAUUGUUGACCCGAAUCUUAAUAGGACACUUAGGUAAAACUUUGGUUUGAAUUGGAAGAUUAACCUCGACCCUCUACCAAGAAUGAUAGGAACCAGAGGUAUAGGAACGCCACACCAAUAAAGGUGAUAAGUUCGGUUUCAAGGAAAAGAAUUGACGCCACAAGAAAGUUGAUAAGUCGAUUCAGUUCCAGAAAAGAACAAGGAGAAUUGGAUAAUCUCUCAAGUCUCAAAUUUAACAUAAAUUUUCGCCAAAAAAAAAGUCCCUCCAACAAGCCAUUUACAACAUAUUUAUAGUCUAUAAUGUGCCCAACCGAAUGGUCACAAAAAUUCAGAUUAAAUGAGCAAAUUUAAUGAACUAAAAUAGCUUAAGAGCUAAGUUCACUCCUUUGAAGAAUCCUAGACCUUGGGGACGGCAAUGGCAUCAAAAAUCUUUAAUAUCCUUCAAUAAUCAGCCUUGGAAAUUCGGAUGGCCAGCAGCAGCUUUAAAUGACGUCUUGGGCACACAAAUAGCUCCUAAAUACUUUCCUUCAACUUAAAUGAGCUGAACUAAAUUUGUAAGUCCUUUGGUGUGUUCAAGACAACAAUAAGCAUCAGCUUUGGAACCUGAAGACGGCCUUUAAUGCUCUUUGGAAGCAUGAAACUUCAGCCUUGGUUUAAACAGCAAGCAACAAACAUGUUUUGGCCGAAUGGCCACUUGGAAAUUCCCCAAACAACAGCUCUUUGCUGUACCCGAAGCAAUACUAGCUUUAAUGGCAUUCAAAAACGUCCCCCUUGCAUGCUUUCAUUAAUGCCGUCCAUGCAUGGGAACAUCUCAUUAAAUCCAUGUCUUUGCUUCCUUUAAAUGCCGUUCCAUGCAUGGGAACAUCUCCCUUGCUGCUCAUUAAAUUCGGCCAUGCAUGCAAGCUCCAGCAACUAAUUAAUGCCGUCCAUGCAUGGGAACAUCUCCUUAAAUGCAUGUCUCCUUAGCCAUUAAGUAGCCGAAUUUAAUGACCUGCAAACACAAAUUAAAUUCGGUCAAAUAAUGCAUCUAAAGACAAUUAAUUUCGGCUGGACUUCAAACACAUUAAGUCAACAAUGAGACAUAAUAAAUUCGGCUGAAACAUAGACAAAUUAAAUGCAUGCCUUAACCUAUGACAAAUGAAUGUGUACUAAUUGAAAACAUAAUUAA
rnacentral:lncRNA from 1 species